rnacentral:lncRNA from 10 species
GUGUUGGGAUUACAGACUUGAGCCACUGUGCCUGGCCUGAAGAAAUUUUUUGUGUCAUGAUUUGGGGGCAGAGCACACAACUGGGGAUGAGAGUACUAUUGGCAUUUAGUGAGUAGAAAUCGGGUGGGCUGUUAACUAUCCUACAAUGCACAGAUGGUUUCCCUGUUCCCCUCACCCCACACACAAAAUAAAUGAUACGGGCUGGGUGUGGUGGCUCACACCUGCAA